rnacentral:rRNA from 1 species
UACGGAAGGCAGCAGUGGGGAAUAUUGCACAAUGGGCGAAAGCCUGAUGCAGCUAUGCCGCGUGUAUGAAGAAGGCCUUAGGGUUGUAAAGUACUUUCAUCGGGGAGGAAAAAACAAAACUAAUAAUUUUAUUUCUUGACGUUACCCGAAAAAGAAGCACCGGCUAACUCCGUGCCAGCAGCCGCGGUAAUACGGAGGGUGCCAGCGUUAAUCAGAAUUACUGGGCGUAAAGAGCACGUAGGUGGUUUUUUUAAAGUCAGAUGUGAAAUCCCUGGGCUUAACCUAGGAACUGCAUUUUGAAACUGAAAUACUAGAGUAUCGUAGAGGGAGGUAGAAUUCUAGGUGUAGCGGUGAAAUGCGUAGAUAUCUGGAGGAAUACCUGUGGCGAAAGCGGCCUCCUAAACGAAUACUGACACUGAGGUGCGAAAGCGUGGGGAGCAAACAGGGAUUAGAUACC